rnacentral:rRNA from 1 species
GACAGAGGGGGCAAGCGUUGCUCGGAAUUACUGGGCGUAAAGGGCGCGUAGGCGGGAUGGCAAGUCGGUCGUGAAAUCCCUCGGCUCAACCGAGGAACGUCGAUCGAUACUGCUGUUCUUGAGGAUUGCAGAGGAGACUGGAAUUCCCGGUGUAGCGGUGAAAUGUGUAGAGAUCGGGAGGAACACCGGUGGCGAAGGCGGGUCUCUGGGCAAUUCCUGACACUGAGGCGCGACAGCGUGGGGAGCAAACAGG